GUACACACGCAUCACCGUCGAGGAGGACGAUGCUGCAUUGCUUGAGGAGAUCAUCUGGCGGGGAUGUGACCGCUGCGUGUUGCAGCGAUAGCUACACCGCGCAGUCAAGGACGACAACAUCCGGCUUAUCAGAGAAGAUUGCCUGUGACAUCUAGCUAAGGCCAAGGAUGAGGCCUGCCAUUGUACUCAGCAGUGGUCGAGGGGCACACCUGAAUUGGCCAUGCUGCACCGAGUUGAAUACCAUGACCUGGCCGUGACGGUGAACCAAGCUUCCGCCUUCCAAAACCGUUGAUUUUGCGUCAAGGAAAUCUCUUGAAGAACAAAAUGGUAUAUAAUGUGAGCAUCCCAGCUGCAUUUGUGCAUCCUCAUAUCAGUUUGUCUGGUCUAAUGGAGGAUGAUGGUGUGUGUACUUCGUUGAGUGGUUGGUUGCAGAAUGGAAGGGCAGGAGUGGCAUCACGAUGAACAGCGAGGAGAUAUGAAGAGUAUUAGAAGUGGGACUAGAGCCAUGAGAUUCUCCGAUGUCUGGAAGAGGCAGCUGGAGCAUUCCAUUCCUCUAUGGUUAGGAAGCACACCUCGCUGUAGACAUCCCCUGACGGCCAAGAAACAAAGGGGGGCUUCAAAAGGGCUUCCUUUCCACCUUGGUUUCAGAGUUUGUGUUCAUGUUAUUAGCUAUAGAAAUGCAACUAUGUUGUGUAUGCAAAUGGGGUUGCGACAAAGCAGAGCUCAUUGCACUGUGCCCGCACAUAUCCCCAUCAGCUACAUGUGCCACAUCUUCUCCUGCGGCAGCCUUGG